rnacentral:rRNA from 1 species
CGCCCCUCCUCGGGCCUAUUACUUUGACUAAAUGUGAGCGCUCGAUGCAGGCCCUUGGGGCCUUGAAACCCGCAGCAAAGAAUAACGGAACAGGGGCUCCCUGCUUCCCUCUGGUCAGUGACGGGCCAAUGAUUUAUUGGGGGGAUCGGGGUGGGCCACAUGGCGGGGGUAGGGGUGAAAUCCGUUGAUCCUCGCCAGGUGAACUAGAGCGAAAGCAGCCCACAAGUACCCUUUCUUAGAUCAAGAACGAAAGUCUGGGGAUCGAAGAUGAUCAGAUACCAUCGUAGUCCAGACCCUAAAUGAUGCCGGCCAUGGAUGGGCGCUAGUCCAUCCCGACCCUGCCCGGACCUUGUGAGAAAUCAUAAGCGUUUGGGCUCCGGGGGGAGUAUGGUCGCAAGACUGAAACUUAAAGGAAUUGACGGAAGAGCACACAAGGAGUGGAGCCUGCGGCUUAAUUUGACUCAACACGGGGAAACUCACUAGGGCAAGAGGGGGGUAGGAUCGACAGCCUAGCAGGGCUUUCCUGAUUCCCCCAGUGGUGGUGCAUGGUCGUUCUUAGUUCGUGGAUUGAUUUGUCUGGUCUAUUCCGCUAACGAGCGAGAACCCGCCCUUUGUGGUUGGGCCUCUGGGCACGCCUCCGGGGCUAGCUUCGUCACCGCAAGUAUGGCGGGGCAGGCGCCGGGGGCUGAAAACGCCCUUGGGCAUUCAGUCCGGAGGGACCGGCUCCGAUAAGGCGCCGGCAGCGGGUCAAUAACAGGUCAGUGAUGCCCUUAGAUGCUCUAGGCUGCACGCGCGCUACAAUGGGGCGAGCAUCGGGUCUCCUGUGCCUAACGGCGGCGGGUAAUCCGGUGAAAGCGCCCCGUAUCCGGGCUAGCGCCGUGUAAUCGGCGCUUAAACAAGGAAUUUCUAGUAGUCGCCCGUCACCAGCGGGCGACGAUUCUGUCCCUGCUCUUUGUACACACCGCCCGUCGCUCCUACCGAUUGGGCUACAAGGUGAGUUGCCCGGAGGAGGCAGAGGUUCGUAGUGGGAUAUCAGGCGCCGAAGGGAGGCGAACCCUGCGGCCUAGAGGAAGGAGAAGUCGUAACAAGGUAU